CACAGUUUGCCAACCAUGGAUUACAGAGCAAACAAAACAAAACCUCAAGGACAAAAUAAAGAAGCAGAACACCUUGAAGAAAGAGCUGAUUCCAACUCUGAAGUGGGAAAUGUAUAGGAUGGGCGUGGUAGAAGAUCAGAAAGCUAUCAAAAACAAUUGAGGACAUGUUCAAAGAACUCAGGUGACAAAAGAGGAUCCCACUGGCCAAAAAUGGGACAAUGAAGUCUUAUCCAUCCUCCUCUUUACUGUGGUCCCCAGAACUGUGUCUUGAACAUGGCAAAAACUUGUUCAGCUGUCAUGAGAAAGUUGAGUGAUGAGACCUUGAGCGGGAAUCAUCAAUGAAAGGGCCAAGGAGAUGAGAUGGAGCAUUGUAAUCAACAAAAGUGCUAAACACCAAGAAGUGUUGUCCCAUAUUUUAUUACACUUGAGAAUGUCUUGCUAUUUUAGACGUUACAAGGUAUGGCAAGACAAUCUUGUAGCAGUGCUAGAAUGAUUCGUUGAAAUGCAUUCAAUCAGAAAUAAAAGAUGCUGUUAAUAACUGUCACAAAACUAUCGUGCUAAGUGUCUGCUUGCCUCCUGUCAUUUGGCUUUGAAGUUGAAUUAACUGUUGUAAAAGCGUUUGGUCUUUCCUGCCAGAACAAGAGGUUACAAACAAAUCUUAAUGGAAACAUAGUUUUGGCUUUUCCAUUCUGGAGAUUUAUACUGAAAAGACAAAACACUGGGUACUCAAAUGGAAAGAAAUUAAUUGAAAAUAAAAAGAAAGUGUCUGGCCAUCUUCAUUUCAUGCCUGAUUUCCCACAGCCAUUUUCUAAGUCAUUUUGUACCAUAUAGAUACUCUUAAGACUGAUUUUCAAGACCUUCCUUAAUCUGACCUCUCAGCUCUUCCCAACAGCAUACUCUGCUUCUGCACAGGCCAGUAGGAUCAUUUUGCCCUGCAAACGUCUUACACAGCUCCAGGCCACUUCACACUUAUCUCCUCUCCACUUGUCCUACUCUGAAUAAAUCCUUUCCUUUCCUUAAGGAAAUUCUGAUCUUGAUGUGCCUUCUUCAGCUGCUGCAAUCCAAAAAGGACUCUCCUUCCCUCAAACUUCUAUUUCAUUAUAUCCUAAGUUUGUUUUUAUCAAUUUUAUGUCAACUAUAGACAUUCAACUCCAUGAUGACUUCAGUUGCUUCUAAAAUUUGCCAGUCAUAUUCUUCUUUUUCUGUGCCCAAAUAAAAACUUAAUAGGUAUUUCAAUCUUUUUAUUUUGGGAUGUUUCUAUGUUUUAAAAUUAUUUGAUAUCACUUGAUUUUCUAAAUAUGAGAUGUGAAAUGUCAGGGUUUACAUUAUCUCUUUUUCCAAAAUGUCAGCUAACACUGACAUUAUUUACCAAAUAAUCCUUCCCUUUGCAAUCCAACCCUAAUGUCUCCUUUAGCCCAAUAAGUCUAUUUCAAGAACUCCUAAUACACUUAUUUGUCUGCCUAUUCUGAGCGUCACUACUGAAAUGUUUAAAUAAUUGCAUCUGUAUUUUGAGUUUUAUCACUGUAUUUUUUUCUGAAUAUAUGCUCAUAUGUUUAUUACUCUAGAUAAGUUUUAGAACUAGUUUAUUAAAACAUCAUGAGUUUUUAUGAAAAUUACCUUC
rnacentral:lncRNA from 10 species